AUUUUGGGCAAUGGGCGAAAGCCUGACCCAGCAACGCCGCGUGAGGGAUGAAGUAUUUCGGUAUGUAAACCUCGAAAGAAUGGGAAGAAUAAAUGACGGUACCAUUUAUAAGCUCCGGCUAACUACGUGCCAGCAGCCGCGGUAAUACGUAGGGAGCAAGCGUUGUUCGGCUUUACUGGGCGUAAAGGGCGCGUAGGCGGCGCGGUAAGUCACUUGUGAAAUCUCUGAGCUUAACUCAGAACGGCCAAGUGAUACUGCUGUGCUAGAGGGCGAAAGAGGCAACCGGAAUGCUUGGUGUAGCGGUGAAAUGCGUAGAUAUCAAGAGGAACACCUGAGGCGAAGGCGGGUUGCUGGGCCGACACUGACGCUGAUGCGCGAAAGCCAGGGGAGCAAACG
rnacentral:rRNA from 1 species